AACGUAGGACGCAAGCGUUAUCCGGAGUUACUGGGCGUAAAGAGCGUGUAGGCGGCCAUGCAGGUCCGUUGUGAAAACUCGAGGCUCAACCUCGAGACGUCGAUGGAAACCGCAUGGCUAGAGUCCGGAAGAGGAGAGUGGAAUUCCUGGUGUAGCGGUGAAAUGCGCAGAUAUCAGGAAGAACACCCGUGGCGAAGGCGGCUCUCUGGGACGGUACUGACGCUGAGACGCGAAAGCGUGGGGAGCGAACAGG
rnacentral:rRNA from 1 species